CGCCCUGGGGCGGGGGCAGGGACGCCGGGCUCAGAGAAGACGGCGCCGCCACAACGGGGCGGCAGGAAGGCAGGCCGCCUCCGUCCGGCCAGACCCUUCGGGGGGGCUGUUAGGCCGCCCUCCCCCGCGCCCCGCUGUCUUGGGCCAGAGGAACGGCGCCCGAGACCGCCUCGCUGGUUCUUGGCCCCAGUUCUCCUGAGUCGCCCGUUGGCCACGCUACCCCGCGCUCCGAGGAGCUGGCAGAGGGCUCGGCUGCCCGAAGGCCUCCUGGGAGUAGGCUGGGCGAGCAGCUCCUGGCCCGGGCUUCCUUCCCCGCACUCCCAGCCCCGCAGCAUCGCCCCUUGGCGCGGAGGGAGCCCAGCUCCCACGGCUACUGUCUGGGCGAGUCCACUCGGGCUGUCCGGGCAGCGGGGACUGCCUUGGUGUGGGCAGGUGGGGGUGGCUGUACAAAGGUGACAGCAAGCCUGCAAUCUGCCCAGGACUGGGUGGCGGGAGUGGGAGCUUGCUAAGGGCUGACUGCAGUGCUGCUGGGCUGGGUGUCCGGCCUGGGGCCAGCCCUCCGCCUGGACAGCCAGUGGCUCCUGAGACCUGAGUCCAGGAGGGAAGUCAGUCUGGCCCUGAUGGGGAGAUAGGCGCAUUCUGCCUGCCUUCGCUCAUUCAAGACAGCGGUGGCCGUGGAGGCGGGCGUCUGAGAAGCACCAGGGCCCACGUGGAGCUCAGGGCAGCCGGCGGCCUCCGGAGUCUCCACAGCCGGAACAGCACCCAGGCCCCCGGAAAUGGCACCUCCCCAGAAGGUGCGCUGAGCGGCCCGUCGCCCUUCCUUGGGGGGCAGGGCCUCCCUUCACUCCGCUCCCUGGAAGCCAAUCUUCGUGUCCCAUCACUUGGACGCUGCCGGGCCUGACCUUGCCCGGCUCCCUGGCCAAGUGGCCAGAAGCGUCGAUGGCCCUCCUCUGCCCCUGCCUCUCGGGCAGGAGGCUAGCGCGGCUCUCCCGCCGCGCUGAGAGGGCCUCCUGGGCCCGUGCUCUGGGGAAAGGAUGGCAAUACCCCAGGUCUUGCCCAGGGAGCCUGGCAGGGAAAGUCCCUCUUUGUCCCGGGACUGAGUGAUCUGUCCAGGGAGCCAUUGUGCAGCCGGCCACCUCCGAAGGGCAGCGAUCCCCCCAGGCCGACGGAGGGCGCCCCCGGCACUCCCUGCACAGGAACGAGGCCAGGGGCUGCGCCCACCCCUGCGCCCCCACCUCUGGUCCCUGUGGUCGGAGGUGCUCCCUGGUGGAUCCAUUGUCUGUCGAUUGUCUUUUGUUUCUGCUGCUGGCAGAGCGGCCGGGUGCGAUCUGAAACAAAGUCUCCGUGCCCCCGGGGCCUGGCCCCGCUGCGCGUCCCCCCCCCCCCCCCCGCCUGGCCGUUGCAGCAACAUGCAGAGGCAUCUGGGGGGGAACGAGGAGCUGGCCCGAUGCUGUCUGCUGCCUGCCGUCACCCAGGGACCCGCGCCCCGGUCCCCCUCCCUGGGGACCCACGAGAGGCUCCGACUGCAGUGGGGGAGGGGGAGGGGAGGCCACAGGAACCGGUCCCGAGUGAGGAUGGCCUCAGAGGGACCGCCUGGCAGCACUGGGCAUGGGGUCCCGAAGAUGCCCUUGGGCUUGGAAGUCUAACGGCUCCGUGGCCAGACUUAGCCGCAGAGCAGCGUGGGGCCCAGAUCCUGGGGCUGGACAGUGGAGAGCGACAUGGCUCAUCUCUGGCAAGUGCCCCCGGGAGCUGAGGACUGGGGCCGCAGGGCUGUAGGAGGGCUUUGUCCCGGCCCAGCGCCAACCUGAAUUACUUAAAGCAGAAAGUCUGAGUGGCUUCUCUUUCAAAGCAGCCUGGUGCUGGGGUCAGGGUCAGGGACAGGGACGCGCCCCUGGCCCCGGGUCAGAGGUGCCGGGGGCCGCGGCCCAAGGUGAUCGGAGGGGCCUGAGGGCUGCCCCCCACUCCCGCCCGGUCACCGCCUCCCUUCCUGUUUUCCCACCCUCGUGGGCUUGGAAGGAGGCCAGGGAGCAGGAGUUGGGAAGUUUUUCUUUCUCCUCAUUUCAGAAACACGAUGUCAUGUCUGUGAUGCUGAAACGCAUGGGCAGAUUUUAGGGAGGUUUCUGUUAUUAAAAGCGAGAGGCUAUCAAUUCA